UGGUAGAUUGGGCCCAUGGCGAUCUGAGCAAGAUCCAGAUCGAGGAUGGCAAGCACGCGCUUUACGAACGCAAGUUUGGUACGGUCGGCACCGACGCAAAGCCCGGCUUGGUUGCUGCCGAGUAAACCGCCAACUUCCGCACCGCUCUCGCUUGCCAAACGAUGCGGACACCCGACACCACAGCCCUGAGCCACUCGACUCGUUUCAAUCGUCGGGCGGCCAGCGGCUGGCCAUGUGGGGCGGUCAGGCCGUGCGAUAGGGCAGAGGUUGCGCGCCGAUUACGGAAAAAACCAGGGAUAGCUGCCAUUCGGCCCAGCAAUGUCAGAUCGGCG
rnacentral:misc_RNA from 1 species